GGGCGAUUAGCUCAGUCGGUAGAGCAGCUGCCUUACACGCAGCACGUCGGCGGUUCGAGCCCGUCAUCGCCCACCA
rnacentral:tRNA from 1 species